rnacentral:rRNA from 1 species
UUUAGUGACAAUAGCGAAGAGGUCACACCUGUUCCCAUGCCGAACACAGCAGUUAAGCUCUUCAGCGCCGAUGGUAGUUGGAGCCUUGCCCCUGCAAGAGUAGGACGUCGCUAUGC